rnacentral:rRNA from 1 species
AUGAACAUCGCCCUCCUGACCCGUUGGCUAUGGCGUAUUGCUAAUGGCGACGGAGGCCUUUGGCUCACCAUCAUCCGGAACAAGUACCUCCGUGGACAACCCCUGGCUUUCUGUCAGUGAUCGAGCGGCUCCCAAUUCUGGCAGGCCGUCAUUCAGCUGCUCCCUGUGCUUCGCAUUGGCACUUCCAUCUCGGUUGGUACUGGGUUCGCGACCCUGUUCUGGUUUGAUUGAUGGAUUGGCGACACCCCUCUGGCGGCCCGCUUUCCCGAGCUAUUCGCCAUUGCUGUUGACCCUCGGGUCUCAGUUGAGAUGGCCCUUAUUGACUUAGGGCGCCUCACAUUUCGCCGCCCUUUUGGCCUGCCCGAAGUGGCCACCUGGGAUGCCCUCCUCGAGGACAUCGCCCUUCUCCCGAUGAGCGUCAACGACACCCCGGACGCCAUCUCUUGGCGUCUAGAAUCUUUCGGUCGCUUCUCAACUAAAUCCCUGUACGCGGCCAUCGCGCCCUCGCCCGCCCCCGAGCCUUUCAGUUUGAUCUGGGACAUCCGCCUGCCACUGAAGAUUAGGAUCUUCCUUUGGCAAUGGAUCCGUGGCCGCCUCCCCUCCGGAGUCGAGGUCCUCAAGCGUAACGGACCAGGAGAUGAGCUUUGCCCCAUGUGCGGCACGGUGGAGGAUGCUAAUCACAUCUUCUUCACGUGCACCACGGCCCAGUUUCUAUGGUCCAGCUUCCGUGAUACGGUUGGCGGAUAG